AGGUCGCCUCAGGACAGAAUUCACGUCCUGACGCCUCAGGACUAUAACUUCUCCCUCGUCAGACCUCUCUCUCGCUCUCUCCCCCAAAAUCCACAGAAGAGGAGACUCGAUCAUGGUUCCAUAGAAAAGAUCAUACGCGUAAUUGAACAAAACAAGGCAUUUGUAGGAAAAGGACCGGUUAUAGCAAACUACCAUGGACAACCAGGAAGUUAAUUUGGAAGACAAUCCAGGUCCUCGUUUGGGUAUGCGGUUUAAAACUGCAAAUGAAGCAUACAAAUGGUAUAAUGAAUAUGCUCGCCAGGUUGGUUUCAGCGUGCGCAUCAAUCAUCAGGAGAAAUCAAGACGAGAUGGGGAAGUUAUUUCCAAAUCAUUUGUAUGUUCCAGGGAGGGAAAACGCCGGGACAAAUACGAGAAUAGAGAGAAUAGAAAGAAAUCUGUCACACAUACAAGAGUAGGGUGCCAAGCAUUUCUUAUGGUGAAGAGAAGGAGAGGUCCUGGGGAGGAUGGUUGGGAGGUUACAAAAUUCCACGUGCUUCAUAAUCAUGAUUUAGUGUCUCCAGCCAAAGCGCAGUGCCUUCGAUCACAUAAGAGGAGACGGUAUAAUCCAGAGCAUUUUAUUGAAAAUGGUGCAAAUGUUCAAGUCGAUAAUGCAUUUUCUUCAUUUGAGGAAGGAUCCGGGGCGUCAGUAAGUUACAUGGCCUUGGGAGGUAAUGCCACAGAAUCUGGGGUGGUGACGAAUGUUGAGGGUUGCGUAAGUGAAGCUAACACAGCUGUAGAAUACAUGAGAUCAAAAGACGGUGCUGUUUCUUGUGAUGAGGAGAUGGACACCGAGCCCUCUCCCACCUUGAAAGACGGUUCAGGUCUUCGCUUGGGUAUGCAGUUUAAAACUGCUGAUGAGGCGUACACAUGGUAUAACAAUUAUGCUAGGCAAGUCGGCUUCAGCGUGCGCAUCAAUGGUCAAGAAAAGUCUAAACGUGAUGGAGAAGUUAUUUCUAGAGUAUUUGUCUGUUCUAGAGAAGGAAAACGUCGUGAUAAAGAUGUAAAUAGAGAGAAAAGAAGUAAAGGUGAGCAAGUGAAUACAAGGAUAGGGUGCCAGGCAUAUCUUAUGGUCAAGAGAAGAAGGGGUCCUACAGAGGACAUUUGGGAGGUCACAAGGUUUCAUGAACUUCACAAUCAUGAUUUAAUGUCUCCAACAAAAGCGAUUUUCCUUCGAUCACACAGGAGGGUAAAACCUACUGCCGAAAAUUAUAUUGAAAAUCUAUCCGGUGUGCGUGUUCAUGGGGAUAAUACCUUGCCUUCACCAGUAGAAGGGACUGGUGGGCUUGGAAAUGUUGGUGUUAGUCCACGAAAUUUGUACAAUCAUCUUAGUACGAAAAGGCGGGAGGGCCUUGCAAAAGGAGAUGCUAAGACAGUCCUUGACUACUGUAAAGAAAUGCAAAAGAACAAUCCUAGUUUCUUUUACGCGAUGCAAAUUGAUGAGGAAGAUCGCUUGUGUAAUUUUUUCUGGGCCGAUGCUAGGUCAAGGAUGACUUAUAGGUACUUUGGUGAUGUUGUGUGCUUUGACACAAUGUAUAAGAUAGACCAAUAUAAAAUUCCAUUGGUUCCAUUCACCGGAGUGAACCAUCAUAAGCAGCCAGUGUUGUUUGGUUGUGCAUUAUUAUGUGAGGAUACGGAAGCUUCAUUCGUUUGGUUAUUUACUGCAUGGCUUGACGCAAUGCAUGGGCGGCAUCCGGCCACAUUUAUUACGGAUCAAGAUGAAGCAAUGGCUAAAGCAGCUGCGCGGGUAUUCCCAAGAACAAACCACCGGUUAUCCAUGUGGCACAUUGUAAAAAGAGCACCAGAUAAGUUGCCACAAGUCUACAAUGCGCAUAAGAGUUUUGGUGACGACUUCCAUGCGUGCUACAGGUUGUCAGAGACGAUUGAUCAGUUUGAAGAGAGGUGGAGGCAGCUCAUCAUUGAUUAUAAUCUUGGGGAGAAUGCAUGGCUUCAGUCAUUAUAUGAAAUUCGUGAAAAGUGGGUUCCUGCUUUCACAAGGAACACCUUCUGUGCAGGGAUGUUCACAUCGCAACAAAAUGCUGGUAUGAAUUCAUUUUUUGAUGGGUAUGUUGGUAAGAAAACAACCUUGCAGGAAUUCGUCAAGUUGUAUGAUAAAGCACUCGAUCAUCGGUACAAUCAAGAGUGUGAAGCAGAUUUUCAAACGCUCUACACUAAUCCAGUUUUGAAGAUAUAUUUGCCUAUGGAACCGCAAUCUACAGAUGCAUACCCGAGAAUUAGCAAUCCAGUUUUGAAGAUGCAAUUGCCUAUGGAAAUACAAGCUGCGGAGACGUACACCAGAGUAGUAUUCAAGGAAUUCCAGGAGGAGUUGGUGAGAAGUCUAUCUUACACUGUUGAGGAAGUUGAGGGUGGUUGGGAUCUCAAGACUUAUAGGGUGAGACAAUAUUGGCAUGAGAUACGACCACAUACGGUUACGUUCAACGUAUCAGAGACGAGGGCAACUUGUACAUGCCUCAUGUUCGAGUCUGAAGGCAUUCUCUGUCGACAUGCAUUAAAAGUUUUCUUGACAAGUGGCGUUCUAGAGCUCCCAUCUUAUUACAUUUUGGAACGAUGGACAAGAAAUGCAAGGAUUAGGGAUGUAUACGAUCAACAAGAAGUCAUUAUGCCAGCUGAUUUGAAGAAAUCUGUGACCCUGAGAUAUAACGAUUUGUGUCGGCGGGCCAUUAAAUGUGCAGAAGAUGGGGCGACAUCUGUUGAAGUUUAUGAUAUGGCAGUUUCAGCAAUAGAGAGGUGUUUGAAAGAAAUAACUGAAGCCAAAAAGAUUGAAGCAAGAAAUGCACAGCUUAGCGCUCUGUUGACCGGAAGUAUACAAGAGGACCACAUGGAGGAAGCCAGUCAAGUGGGCCAUCCCAGUAACCAAAUAAAUUUGCAUGAUCCUCCUGGCAUGGUCACAAAAAUAGGCCCUUCUAAUCAAAUGUUUGACAGGCAACGGAAGGUCAUCAAGACUUGCAGUGUUUGUAGGGGGAACGAUCACGACAAGCGUAAAUGCCCGCACAUUGAAGGCCACAGGGAAUAUGCAGCAGUUCUCCCAUCUAGACAUUUAUAGAUAGGUAAAGCUUGGUGUAGCAACCUUUCCAGUUCAUGACUAUGGAAAAAGAAGUUACUCCAUUGAAGAAUGGUCUUUCACUCUUUCCAUUUUCGACCUUGCAGCGAAGCUACUAAGGUCCACCUCCAAAUGGAGUCACCUAUAAGCACAUCUUCUGAGACAAUCUUGGUUUUGAAGCAUUGUAAUGCUCGAGCGAAAGAAAUACUGUUUUCUUGUUUGAUCCUGCAAUGCUGCAUAUGGGACCCACCUUUCAGUAAUCUAAGCUGUUGAUAUGGUGGGUCCCAUUAACAGUAGGGGAGAGUUUGGAGAUGUAUCUAAUCCACCAUGGGACCCACCCUGUGAACAAAUUGGAUUACCAAGUGUGAACUCCAUCUUCUUCAAUAGGACUAGGAACUAUGCUGGCGUGUACAAAUGCUAUGAUAUCGCUGUUUGACCGGUACGUCAUCUUGCAUCAGUGUUGUAUCUUCUCAAGAAUGGAAAACUUAGGGAAAAAAACAACAACAACAAUAUGGCCACUUAUGUUAGUGAUGUUUAUUUGUGCAAUUUGUGUAUGAAAACAAACCGUGGUGGAAAUCUCAUUCACCAUUACUUUAGUC